UUGACUUUGGGAGAUUGGCAUCAAGGUCGGAGAAGGAUGCCAGCCAACAUCCAAGCACAUUUUUGAGGCUAUUGUCUAUUUGGUAAUUUCGAUCAUUUUCAAAUUUUUUGCACUUGUUUUCAACUUAAUUAUUAAGAAGUAUGAAAAUUUUGAAUUAAAUUCAAUAGUUCAUUCAUUAGUAAUUGAGGUUUAAAUUUGUUGUAGGAAUUGUUAGGGUUUGAUUUAGGGUUAGGAUUUAGGAUUUGGUUAGGAUUUGGUAUAGGAUUUGGUAUAGGAUUUAGGAUUUGGUUAGGAUUUUGGUUUAGGGUAAGAUUUUGGUUUGGAUUAAGAUUUGGUUAGGAUUUGAUUUAGGAUUUGAUUAGGGUUUGAUUUAGAAUAAGUAUUUAAGGUUUGAUUAGGAUUUGAUUUAGGGUUUAGAAUUUUAUUAAGAUUUAUUUAGGAUUUAAGAUUUAAUUAAUUUUUGGCCUAAAGUUUGAAUGAAGUCUAAUAGGAUUUUAACUAGGAUUAAAUUAAGAUUGAAUUGAGAUGUAUUUGAGAUAUAUUUGUGAUCAUUUUAAUAUUUUUUUAAUAUUUUUUAUUAUUUCUUUGUAAUUCCUUUGAGGUUUCUUUGAAUUUGAUUAAAUCUUGCUUAAUAUUAUUAUGGUCUAAUUAGAAUUUAAUUAAUAUUCUAUUAGAAUUUAAUUAGUAUUCUAUAGACCUAGGAUUUUGUUGCUACACUUUCUAUUCUACCUUCCACAGCCAAGUGUCUAGAGCAUUCUCAAGCAAGACUUCACAUAUAAUGACAUAUUUGGUGAAUUCAACAUAAAAUGCUUAAGAUGGAAGAUAUUUGGUUUUCUUGGAUUAUUUGAAUUAUAGAAAAGAAAGGCAAGAGAAUUAAAAGAGGAGCUAUAGAUGGUGCAUUAAUUGGAGCUAAUAGUGGUGGAACUAGUGGAGGACAAGGUAUGUAUUUUGAUCAUAACUUUGUAAGCAUGUUUGAAGCUUUUGCCUUAUUUAUGUAAGAACAACAAAUUAAAGAUUGCAAAGAAGAUAUGGCAAACAAAGCAUUACAAGUAGCUAUGGACAAGAUCAAUCAAUUUGAAGGAAAAGAUGUUACAAAAUAUUUAAGAUUUUUUAUAAAAGAAAUGGAAUUGAAGCAUAUUUCAAAAAAAGAGAUGAUUCAAUUAUUUGAAUUAGCCUCUGCACUAGAGAUAAGAAAUCAAGUAAAGUCUCUUAUAGGACAAUUUGGAGGUUCAUGAGAGAAAUUUUCUCAAGCAUUGAAGGAUGAAUUUUACUUGGAAGAUAAUGAUAGGAUUACAAAAAAUUCUUUUUUUGAAUGGAUUGAAAGGCCAAAGAAGGAUUUUCUAGCAACAAAAUUAUUAAAGAAGUUUGAAAAGAAACAUUCUUUUUUAUCAAAGAAAGAAAGGCAAUUAUUCGAUCCGAGUAAGGUGGAGCUCUUUCUUCAAGCACUUCAUGGUGAGUUGCAAGAGAAGUUGGAAAUCUUACUUAAAGAUGAAGAAGAAGAAGAUGAAGGAUUGACAAUAUAUUGGAAAGAAGUGGAGGAGGCAAUAGGAUUGUUGGCAAAAAGAGAAAGAAGAAAAGAUAGGAUGGAUAUUCAAAGACUAUUACAAACAUCUAAGGUAAAAAUGUCUACUAUCCAUUCAACAUCUUUGAUUCAAAUUUUAAUGGCUAUAUCAAAGAAAGAAGAAAUGGACAUCAAUAAAAUCAUAUGUGGGAUGAGAGAUUUGUAAAUAAAAUUUACAAAACUUGAAGAGAAAGGUCAAUCAUCAAGAGUAUCAACAAAAUAAAGACUAAGACCAAUAGAAGGUAUAGUACAUAGAUGCAUGUGGUGUAAUAGCAUAGAUCAUUCAAGGAGGGAAUGUAAAGAUUUUACAGAGGUACUACGUAAAAGAGUUAUUUUUUUUAAAGAUGGUAUGAUAAAUUUAAAAAAAAGUAGAGAAAAAUUGAAAACAAAUUUUGAUAAAGGAAGAAUGAAGGUGUUUGUCAGAGAUACUUUUAAAGUACAUAUAAUCUCAAGCAAUGAAGCAUCAAUAUAUUGAAUGGAAGCAAAUCCUAGUAAAUAUUUAAGUAUGAAUCUUCAGUUUUAGGAAAAUCUUAUUUUUUGUGGACAAGUGCAAUGAGUUAUGUUGAAAGGAGAAAAUUUAUUAGACAUGAUUUAAAAUGUGUUGAUAAUAACAUUUGACAAAUUACUAGGUGGAAUGAUCCAAUAGAUAGAUUAUCUCUGCAUGCUCAUAUUGCAAGGAGUCAAUAUGAAGCGUUGUCGUAUUAUAACACGAGUAUACUGUGAAAAUAUAAAGAAAGGGGACUUUUAUUAAUAUUCAGUUAUCUCGAAUAUUGGAAGCAACGACCAAUUCCAGUGUAAAUACUGAGAGGCCAGGUUCAGUCACCCCGUUACAGUCAGCCGGAGCAUACUGAAAUGCUCCGUUCGAUUCCAAUAACGGGAGUCAGCAGAAAGGGAAAGGACCAAUUCAAUGACGGGUGAGCAUAGUUCGAAGAGCCAAUUGGAUCCAAUUUCAAGUCAUCCAAUCCAAGUCCUAUUACGGGCCUCUUACCCAAUAUGAGACCUGAUUUGGUCGGGCAAUCCAAUGCGAUCCAAUUACAGGAACAUCCAAGCCUUACUACGGGCCUCUUAGCCAAUAUGAGACCUGAAUUGGUCGGGCGACUCCAUGUGGUCCCGAUUAUGGGGGCUCCAGUUCCGUUUCAAGCUGUUCCGUCCUUUGUGCCGUUUCGAGAACGUCCUUUCAGUAAAAGGAUCUCUUAAAGAUAAAAACGGAGGAGAAAGCUCUGAUGGCGGAGCCAACUCUAGAUCCAAGACGAAAGAUUGCAGAAAUUCAGAGACUAAGGUUUGAAAGAGGAGAGAAUUAGGAUUAAAGGGGAGCAGAGGUUAAGAAAUGAAGGGAGAGAGAAGGGUUUGAAGGGUCAGAGAGGUAGCUUCAUGCUUCGGGAGGGGAAAAAAGAUAGAGAAUUGGGGUUUUUUUCUUGAUAGGGUUUUGGGAAGACUAAGGCAAUCGUUGCUGAAGUCAGUGUUGUACUGGUAAAUCGAGAUUUUUAAUGAAGUGAGUGUGAUUGCUCUUGACUGUUUUGUGAAAUCAAAGUUACGUCUGUGAUUGAAGAAUUAAAAGGGCGUCUAUAGAAUUGAGUAUGCGGAGUGAAUGAAAUUUAUUGGAUUAAUCUAACAAGACAGUCAGUGGAUACAAGGUCGUGAGUAUAAAGCGGUAUCGGAGAUUAGCACAUCGGAUUGUUCGAGGUUCUCUGUAACGUCUAGAGACCUACCGGAUGGGGCAAAAAAGAUUUUGGUGAGCAGUCGAAGGACAUCCGUAUAGAUUUACGGUAUAAACUUGCAGUCGUUUAUAUUCCAACAGUCAAAAAUCGAUAGACUGCUUGAAUAUUAACGAAUCUCCAUAUUACCUUCUACAACCAAAUACCCGGCGUGUUCUCGAGCAAGAAAGCAUGUAAUAUGACACAAGUGGUGAACUCGACGUGAAAGCUUGAGGUAGAAGGUAUUGGAUUUCAUUUGAUUUUAUUUUUAUUUUUAUGGAGAACAAAAAUAAAAAUUUUGAAGGAUCUUUGGGAGGAGUUUCUGAUGGGGGUUCUUCUAAAGGACAAGGUAUGCACAUGGAUCCGUCUAUUGCUAGUAUGUUUCAAGCCUUCUCAUUAUCAAUGCAGCAACAGCAAAGCAAUGAUCGAAAGGAAGCUUUGGCAACCAAAGUAUUGCAAGCAGUGGUCAAUAAAAUUGAUCAAUUUGAUGGAAGGAAUAUUUCAAGGUAUUUAAGAUGUUAUGUUCGUUAAAUGGAAUUAAAUCAGGUUUCUGAGAAGAAAAUGGUUGAAUUAUUUGGACUUGCCAUGAUACCGGAUAUAAGAGACCAUAUUACAUCGAUUACGGAUCGUUAUGAGAAUUCAUGGGAGGUUUUUUCACAUGCAUUGAAAGACGAAUAUUUCUUGGAAGAUGCUGAUCGCAUUAUUAAGAAGCUGUUUUUGGAAUGGAUUGAACGACCUAAUAAAAAUUGGAACUCCUUCUUGAAGACAAAGAAGAAGAUGAAGGAUUGACAACAAAGUGGAAGAACGUUGAAGAUGCGGUGGGGUUGCUUACAAAAAGAAAAAGGAGGAAGGAUAGGAGCAAUAUUCCGAAAACAGUACAAGCACCCAAUGCUCCAAUACGUACAACACCACCAACAAUGCCUACAGUUCAACCUUUGACAUCCUUAUCAAAGAAAGCAGAUAUGGGGAUGGAAGAAAUUAUACAAGGAAUGCGAGAUCUUCAAAUCAAAUUGGCAAGACUUGAAGAGAAUACUUCUACAAACAAUUUGAAGAAUGUUUCAAAACAAGGAUAUAUACAAAGAUGCAUUUGGUGUGAUGAUACUUCACACACUAGAAAAGAUUGCAAUGAAUUUAAUAAUAUGAUACGGCAAGGAAUUAUUUGCUGAAAAGAUGAGAAGAUAGCAUUAAAAGAUAGGGAGGAUCUUCUUCAAACCAAUUUUGGCAAGGGAAGAAUGAGAGCAUUGGUUCAAGAUUACUUAAAAGAGCAUGAAACAGCAGCACGAGAAAGUGUAAGUUAUGGUGCUAGAGUAGAUGAUGACCUUGGUAGAAGUACAGAAACUAGUGAGUUUUGGGCUUCUGCCAUUUCUACAAUGCAAGAAGGAAAAUUACCUCGAGAAGCGUUAUUGAGGACUGCACCUAUAAUACGAGGUGCAACAGGUUGAAAGGAUCCUGUUGAGUCUCUUUCAGUUCAUGCAUAUAUUGCUAAGAGCCAACAUGAAGCUUUGAUGAAAGAAAAGAGACGAGAAAAUUUUGAUGAUACGAGAGAAGAAAAUUCUUUUAAGAAGUAAACUCGAGAAGACAAGGCUCGGGAGGCAGCUUCACAAGAAUUGCCUGUAAAGGACACCUCAACAUUAUUGGAAGAAAAAACAAGGGAGACAAAAGAUAAGGGCAAAUCAAUUGCUUAUAAGCUACUUUCUGACAUUGAAACGACAACAAAUUUGAAAGGGGUGUUAGAAGAACGUAUAUUAAACGCUAAGGUCGAAUUCACAUUGAAAAAAGUUUUGGGAAUUGCAAAGAAGGAGUUUCAUGUUGUUAUCAUUGACAGCAUUAAGCGAAAGAAGCAAUUAAUGGGCGAAACUGGAAUGACUCAUGCUAUUGAUGCAAGAAUAUAUAAAGAUGAAGAAGAGGUUGAUAUUGGUUACAAGCAACCAACAAAUGAAAAGAAUGGAUAUAAUCAACGAAUACGUUUCGAAGAUUAUAGUGAUAAGGAAAUGGAAACCUUGAGCCAUUAUUCUCAAAAGCAUUGGGCAAGGGCAACUACUGAGGUAUUGGUGAAAGUAUGAGAUAUAGAAGAACCAAUUGUUGCUUUAGUCGACCAUGGUUUUGAAAUAAAUCUCAUGUCUAAAGAUCUUUAUAAGAAGCAAAAAUAGCCAAUUGAUAUGAAACAUGGAUGGGCAAUACGAGCAGCUAAUAACACAUGGGGCGAAUUAUAUGGAGCUUGUCCAGAUGUCAAAAUUUGGAUUGGAGAUGUUGCGAUGGAGAAACAUUUCUUUGUUCAAGAUACAACGUCUUAUCCAUUGAUUUUAAGACAACCUUAUAUUAUGACAAUACGGAUGGAAACAAAAGUACUUGACGAUGGUUCUGCUUAUGCAAGGGUACGUAGCGAAGAUGGGAGGAAAGCUGUACAAUUUCUAACAGUACCUCCUAACCAUGAACGGAAUCGAGAUAGGUUGAGGGAGAAACCAUUGCCAAAGAUUGUUGAAGGAUUUAAGGAUUUUGGGGAGGUACCACUAUAAAGCGAGAUUGUAGAGGUACAAAAGAGGAGGUACUCUCGCGAGAUGAAGGUGCCUUUGAUGCAAGUUUUAUUGGUAUUUUGGAGAAUAGAAAUAUUAUGUAUAAGAAAGUUAAUAAUUUUAAAAGAAAAGAAAGAAAAAGAUUAUAUAAUAUUGAAGGAGAAUUACGCAAGUUAGGUACAUUGUAAGAUGAUGAGAGGAUUUUAGGAGUUUAUGAAGAAAAUGGACUGGAAGAUUUAUUGGAAUUGAUUACAUCUAUUGGGUUAGGGGAUAAUGAUAAGAUUGUUGAGAUUCAUUCAAGAAAGAUUUAUACCAUACUUUAACCUUUUCAAGCACCAGAAGUCACUGUAGAGACGAGAUAUAAAAUGACAGAUAAGAAGGUAAAGCGUGUUGCCGAACCAUUACCAGAAGAUUCUAAAGAACAAAUGGGAGAAGCAUCAAAAGAAGCAAGUUUAAGAGAUCCAAUGAGUAUUGGACAUCAGUUUACUAAAGAGACUUUUAAAUUGAAGAUUGGUUCUGAUGGUUCUUUAUUGCCAGAAGAAAUUACUUGCUUCAAAAAGAUGUUGGCUAAACAAGGUAGAUCGUUUGCCUUCAAAUCUCAUGAAAUUGGGUGUGUGGAUCUGAAUAUUAUAACACCUAUAGUUAUCUUCACUGUACCGCAUGUACCUUAGAAUCUAAGAUCGAUUCCAGUACCGAGGGCACAUUUACCUAAAUUGGUGGAACUAUUAAAAGAAAAGAUAAAGAUGAAAAUAUUGGAACCCUUAUUUGUACCGUAUUCUAGUCGAUGGUUUAUGGUACCUAAGAAGAAUGGGUCAUUACGGUUGAUUCAAGAUAUGCAACCAGUGAAUGCAGUAACUGUCAGGAAUGCAAGAAUUGGACCUAUUAUGGAUGAGUUUACUGAGGCGUUUACAGGAAGGACGAUCUAUUCAAUGGGUGACUUAUAUUCAGGUUAUGAUCAAUUUCAACUUGCCGAAGGAAGUAGAGAUAUGACGACGAUGAGGACACUACUUGGAUUGGUUAGAAUGUGUACUCUUCCUCAAGGUGCGACCAACUCAAUUGCGCAUAUGAUGAAUGGGAUGAAUAAGGUAUUGAGAGAUUUUAUUCCAGAAAAGACUAUGCCUUUUUCUGGAUGAUGUUUCUAUAAAAGGGUGCAGAGAAGGAGACAAGGAUGAAACUUUAGAUAAGAGGGGGUGUCGCAAAUAUGUUAUUGAUCAUAUACAUGAUUGUGAAAAGAUUUUAACUCGGCUUGGAGAAGUUCAUCUUACAUUAUCGGGUAGAAAAUCCGUAUUUGGAGUAUGAGAGGUUGUGAUUGUUGGACAUUUAUGUGGAUCUUACGGAAGAAAACCAGAUCCGACUAAAGUUGAUAUAAUUGGAAGGAUGAAAGAGGAUUGUGAUUCUUUAACAGAGGUUCGCAGGUUUUUAGGUUUAUGUGUAUUUUAUCGAAUCUGGAUCCCUCAUUAUGCUCACAUAGCGGACCCAUUAUAUGAACUGUUAUGCAAGGGCUACUGUUUUAAAUGGGAAGAAAGGCAUAUUCAGGCAAUGCAAAGAUUGAAGAAAUUAUUGAUGUCACCUCCAAUAUUGAGGAAGGUUGAUUAUAAGUACAAUAGACCAGUGAUUCUUACUGUAGACGCUAGUCCAAUUGCCAUUGGAUGGGCUGUGGGUCAAGAUGAUUCAAGUGGGAAUAGAUUUGCAGUUCGAUUUGGAGCUAAAGUUUUAAGUAUUCGUCAGCGUGCAUAUUCGCAAGUCAAAAGAGAACUUUGGGGAGUUGUUUCAGCUAUGAAAGCUGAAAAGGAUUAUUUGAUUAGGGCAGUAGUAGUAAUUGAAACAAAUUGCUUGCCAUUGCUUGGAAUGAUUACUGAUUGUUCAACGCCAGAUAUUACAAUGUUGAGAUGGAUUGCUUAUAUUAAGUUACUAAAUCUAGAAUUUAAGCAUGUUACAAGAAAGGACAAUUUAGUAGCAGACAUGCUAUCUCGAGCAAGUUACGAGAGGGAAGACGAAAUGGUUGAAGACAUUGAUGACGUCAAAUUGAAAUUCUAUUCAAUAUCAAAUCUCAACAGAGAAGACAAGCUAUUUCUUGAAGAAUCUUAUUUAGGAGAAUUAUUGAAUAUUGGUCAUUACUUGAAUACCUUGAUUAAUCAGGGAAAUUGGUCUACAGAGAAAUUCAAACAAAUAAAAAAAAAGCAUAUGGAUUUUUGCUUCGAGAUGGAUUCUUAUGCAAGAGACCGAAGAAAGGAAUUGGGAUGCGAUAACGAGUGAUAGGCAAAAAAGAAGAAAAACUAAAAUUAUUAAAAGAGUUUCAUGAUAGUUUAUGGGCAGGGCAUAGAGGAAUUUGGGCUACUUUUGCUAAACUCAAGGAACAAUAUUGGUGGAAAAAUAUGUAUCGAGAUGUGCUCUCAUUUAUAGAGUCAUGUGAAAUCUGUCAAUCGUAUUCUAAUAUCUGACAUCGAGAUGGUCUUCAUCCUAUAUAUCCUCUGACCAUUCAUUUUAAAUGGGUUGUUGAUUUAGUUAUUAUGCUAGUUGAAUUAUGGUAGAUGAGAUAUUUUAUUUUAGCUCGUGAAGAUUUAUCAAAUCAAGUAGAAAGAAGAGCAUUGAGGACAAAAUCUACAGAGGGGAUUUGUAGGUUUUUGCUUGAAGAUGUCAUUUGCCGCUACGGAUGCUUAGGAAAAAUCACUGCAGAUCGUGGAGAAUUAAAUGCACAAGAAGCUCGUAAGUUCUUUGAAAGAUGUGGAGUUAAACUAUCACUGACUACUGCUUAUAAUCCAGAAGGGAAUGCAAAAAGCGAACGUGGUCACCCAUCGAUUAUGAAAGCAUUAGCUAAAGCUUGUAAUGGGAAAGUUAAAAAGUGGCCACGGCUUUUGUCAUUUGCAUUAUGGGCUGAUCGAACAACACAUAGUUCAGUGACAGGAUAUAUGCUAGUAGAACUUAUGACAGGUCGAAAACCAAUUAUGCCGAUUGAAGAAAAGGUACUUACUUAGAGUAUGCUACCAUGGGAAGAUAGAUUGAUAAGAGAAGAACUUCUGGCUAUUAGGAUUCGACAAUUGGAGCAAAGAUCGGAAGAUGUGCAGAUAGCAUUGGAGAGGUUAAAAAGAACAAGGUUAUAAAACAAGGCGCGAUUUGAUAAGCAACAUCGAUUGAGACCUAAAGCAAUUGAGGAAGGUGACUGGAUACUUGUUUAUGACAAUAGUCUGGAUAAUCAACAUAGUACUUUGCAGAAAUUUUCAAAAUAUUGGUUUGGACCAUAUGUAGUAACAACUAUUCAUGAUAAUGCGACUUAUUCAUUACGGGAGUUAGAUGGUACAAAAUUAAAAAUAUCAAUUGUAGGGAAGCGAGUAAAAAUAUUUAAACGAAGAUACGCGGAGAUGAAUAUAAAAGACCUUCAUGAAGGUAUAGAGAUUCCGCAGCAAGAAGAUGAAAGUGAUUUGGAUAAUGAAGGUGACGAAGAUGAACUGGACAAAGACAUAGAGAAUAUUUUCUAAAUCGAAUAGCAAUUGGAUAAAUUGGUGCAUAGUGGAGGAUGCACAGGUUCAGAGGGGGUGGAUGUCGUGAUAUAAUACAAGUAUACCGUGAAAAUAUAAAGACAGGGGACGUUUAUUAAUAUUCAGUUACCUCGAAUAUUGGGAGCAACGACCAAUUCCAGUACAAAUAUUGAGAGGCCAGGUUCAGUCACCCUGUUACAGUUAGCCAGGGCAUACUGAAAUGCUCCGUUCGAUUCCAAUAAUGGGAGUCAGCAGAAAGGAAAAAGACCAAUUCAACGACGGGUGAGCCUGGUUCAAAGAGCCAAUUGGAUCCAAUUUCAAGACAUCCAAUCCAGGUCCUAUUACAGGCCUCUUAGCCAAUAUGAGACCUGAAUUGGUCGGGCGACUUAAUGUGGUCCCGAUUACGGGGGCUCUGAUUCUGUUUCAGGUUGUUUCGUCCUUUGUGCCAUUCCGAAAACGUUCUUUCGGUAAAAGGAUCUCUUAAAGGUAAAAACGGGAGAGAAGCUCUAACGGCGGAGCCAAUUCUGGAUCCAAGGCGGAAGAUUGAAGAAAUUCAGAGGCUAGGAUUUGAAAGAGGGGAGAAUUAGGGUUAAAGGGGAGGAUAGGUUAAGAAAUGAGGGGAGAGAAUAGGAUUUUUUGAGAAGGAUCAAGGAGGGAGCUUCAAGCUUCGGGGCGGGGAAAAAAGACAGAGAUUUGGAUUUUUUUUCUUCAUAGGAUUUUGAGAAGAUUAAGGCAAUCGUUGCUGAAGUCAGUGUUGUACUAGUGAAUCGGGAUUUUAAUGAAGUGGGUAUGAUUACUCUUGAUUGUUUUGUGAAAUCGAGUUACGUUUGUCAUGAAGAAUUAAAAGGGUGUCUAUAGGAUUGAGUAUGCGGAGUGAAUGAAAUUUAUUGGAUUAAUCUAACAAGACAGUCAGUGGAUACAAGGUCGUGAGUAUAAAGUGGUAUUAGAGAUUAGCAGAUCGGAUUGUUCGGGGUUCUCUGUAACGUCUAGAGACCUACCGAAUGGGGCAAAAAAGAUUUUGGCGAGCAGUCGAAGGAUAUCCGUAUAGAUUUACGGUAUAUUCUUACAGUCAUUUAUAUUCCAACAGUCAAAAACCGAUAGACUGCUUGAAUAUUAGCGAAUCUCCAUAUUACCUUCUACAGCCAGACGCCUGACGCAUUCUCGAGCAGGAAAGCAUGUAAUACGACAGUGUUAAUAGAGGAAAAAUGAAGGAGAGAUGAAAAUAAUGAAGAGCCUUCAAAAAGAACUACAUGGAGAGAAAAAUCAGGACAACAAAAGAAUCCUAUACAUGAAGAGACAAUAGAGAACAUUUCCACAAAAGAAAGCGAAAUUAAAAAAGAAAAAGUAAAUGUUUUUGCUUAUAAAUUAUAAUUAGAUAUUGAAGUUGCUACAGAUUUGAAGAAGGUAUUAGAGGAGCAGAUUUUAAGUAGAAAGUUUGAAUUCACAAUUGGUAAAAUUCUAGGAAUUACAAAGCAUAAGUUUCAUGAAGUUAUUAUUGAUACAAUAAAGAAAAAAUGACAAUCUAUAGGAGACUCUAUGAGAUCAAAUGCACAAGGAACAAGAGCAAUGGAAAGUAAUGAAGGUGAAGAUGAUGAAAUACAAAAUUUUGGAGAUGUCUUGCGAGUAAGGUUUGUAAAAAAAAAGAUGUCAUUCAAGCUUUUAACCAUUAUUCUAGAAGUCAUUGGAUAAGGACUACUAUGGAAACUUUGAUAAAAUUAGAAAAUUUAGAAAAACCAAUUGUAGCAUUAAUUAAUCAUGGUUCUAAAAUCAAUUUGAUAUCAAAAGAAUUAUUUAAUAAGAGAAAAUGGCCUAUUAAUACUGAACAUGGGUAGAUGAUAAGAGCAACAAAUAAUUCAAAAGGAGAUUUGUAUAGAGCAUGUCAAAAUAUCAAGGUGACGAUGUCGUGUUGUAAUUUAUUCAUAGUGUAAAAAUAAUGGUUAUUAUAUUGAUGUUAUUUAAUAAUGACUUUAAAAAAUAAUGAGUUAUUUUCUAUAGAAUUUCAUGGUUUAUAGAAAUCUUAAAUAACUUGUGUAAGUUUUAUAAGUAAAAGUAGAAGUAUUAGUGUUAUUUAAUAUGAAAGAUGUAGAAAGAUAUGGAUAUUGAUAUUAUAGUAUUGUAGCCUUAGGCCAUCUACGUGGAUAGAUAAGGCAAGGAUAAGAAGAUCUUCACUCUCAUUGGCUAUAGGUCAUGACCAAUGAGCUUCAAGGGGCUGUCCGAGAGAAAACCGAAGGGGAGGCCACUUCUUUGAGGGCAUUUGAGGAUUUAGAGGGGAGAUUCGGACAGCUUGUAUUUUGGGCUAUAAUUUUGGUGUAUAAAGUUUGUUAUUUGAGUUUUGUAUGAAGAAGUUAAGAUUGUUUGAAGUUAGGGUAUGAAUUGUUUAUUGACUGUCACUCUUUUAAGCAUAUAGAAAGUUUUAGAAGGUUUUCUGGAAAAUAAAAGGUGUCGUUCGAAAGCUGGUUUGAAGAAAUAUAAUUUUCAAGCAAGGGUUGUUAACUUUGAGUCUGCAAUGAGAGAGUUAUGGCUGUUUAAAGUCUAGAUGUGAAAUUUGUACCUACUGUCACUCUUUCAAGCAUACAAAGAGUUGUAGAAAGGCAUUGAAAUUGUCAACAAUCGUAAGGUGGAGUUGAAAAGUUGCCUUAAAGGGCUUCAACUAUUAUGCAAGAUUUGAUAAAAUCAGAUCUGAAGUGAGGAAGAAAUGGCUGGUCGAAGUCAGAGCUUGCAAAUUAAGGUAAUAAGUGAACCGAAUUGUUGAUGGUUAUGUUUUGAGCCAUUUUUCUUUUUAGCAUUUUUGAAUGAAUUUUAGCUCAAACUUGCCAAAAGUGUAGUUAUAAUAUUGAGAAGCUUCACAAAAAAAAUUUCAUGUCAUUUGAGUGUUGGGUUUGUAAGAAAUUGCAAAAUCAGUAUAUAGGUGUUUGUAAGUCAACAUGUAUAGACCGUGCUAUUAAAAUUGUGUUAUCUAGAGUUUUGUAAAGAAUCAAUAGUUGAAAAUUGGAUAUAAAGGAGUUAAAGGUACUACCUUACUUCUUAGAUAAUUUGAGCUCAAUCUAACAAUUCGAUUGAGAAUUAUCAAAAUUUAAAGAUCAGUGUAUCAUAGGAAUUCGGUAUUGAAGGAAUUUUGAUAUUACAAGGUUUUUACUACUACAAAAAGGGUUUUAGAAAUUGUGAACGAUUUGGAAAUUAUUGAUUAAUUUUACUAUUAUUAGAGGUCUAAUAAUUAUUAUUUACUAUUAUAAAUUUUAUUAUUAUUGGAGGUCUAGUAAUUAUUAUUUAUUAUUAUAACUUUUACUAUUAUUAGAGGUCUGGUAAUUAUUAUUUAUUGCUGUAACUUUUACUAUUACUAGAGGUUUGAUAAUUAUUAUUUAUUACUAUAACUUUUACUAUUACAAGAAGCUUGGCUUUUGAUGUUUAUUGCUACUAUGUUUAAUAUUAUGGAAAGGAAUAAAAAAAAAUAUAAAUAAUCUUAGAGUAUUUUUUAUCUUAUGAUUAAUUGAGAAUUUACAGUCAACUAAAAGCCUAGUGCUUUUUCAAGGCAAGCUCUCUUUCCCCCGACAAUGGUAGGAGAUGUUAUUCAUGAACGAAAUUUCUUUGUGCAAGAUAUGACUAUAUAUCCUAUUAUAUUAGGACAACCAUAUAUUAUUGCCACACAAAUGGAGACAAAGGUUAUGGAUGAUGGAUCGGCUUAUGCAAUGAUAAGAAGUCAAGAUGGAAAGAAAGCAGUGCAAUUCUUAACAGUUUUUGCAAAUCAUGGAAGAAAUUGGAAUAGUUUGAGAAAGCAUCCUUUGCCAAAGAUACACAAAGAAUUUAAAGAUCUUGAAGAUUCAAAAGAUUUUUAUUAGAUGCCAUUGUAAAGUGGAAUUGCAAUGGUAAAAAGAAUGAAGGCUUCCCGCCUAGUAAAAAAGAUGAAGAUAUUAUAGGAUUAUCACGAGAUAGAUAUAUCAUAUUCAAAAAUAUAAAUAAUUUUAGAAAGAUAGAUAAGAAAAAUAUCAAAAAUAUAGAACAUGAGUUAAAAAAAUACGGUAUCAUUGAUGAAGAUGAAUAUAUAUCAAGGAUAUUUGAAGAAUCUUAUUUUGGUGAUACUAUGGAUGAUUUAUAAAUAUUAUUGAAUAAAGAUUUUGAAGGAGGUGAUAAGGUAAUAAAUAUGCAUUCUAAGCAAUUUUAUGAUGAAAUAAAAUAAUAUAUAGAUAAGUAUGAAGUAAAUAUAAAUACGAAAUACAAGACUAUUGCAAGAAAGAUUAAACUAGUUGCAUUGCUACUACCAUCAAAUUUUGAAGAAAGGAUUAAAGGAGCUUCUAUGCAACCAAAAUUAAGAGAUCCAAAGAAAAUAAGUCAUGAAUUCAAGGAUUAUUUGAUAUUAGAUGGUUUGAAAAUUGGAUGUGAUAAAUUUUUAACAAGAGAUGAGAAGAAAUAUUUUUUAAAAAAUACUUUCACAACAUGAUAAGGUAUUUGUAUUUGAAUCAUAUGAAACAGGGUGAAUUGAUCCAAGUAUUAUAGCACCUAUGGUUAUUUUUACAAUUCCACAUGAAUCAUGGAAUUUGAAGCCAAUUCUAUUUCCAAAGGCCUAUUUACCAAAGCUAGUUGAAUUACUCAAUGAAAAGAUUAAGAUCAAAAUUUUAGAACCAUCUAUUGCACCAUAUUCUAAUCGAUGGUUCACAGUACCUAAGAAAAAUGAGAAAUUGAGAUUUAUUUAAGAUAUGCAAUCAGUAAAUAAAAUAAUUAUUAGAAACAUGGUCUCAAGUCCAAUUGUGGAUAAGUUUGCAGAAGCAUUUGCAGAAAGAGUAAUUUAUUCUAUGGGAGAUCUUUAUUUGGAGUACAAUCAAUUUUAAUUGGCAAUACAAAGCAAAGAUUUAAUAACCAUGAAGAUACCAUUAUGAUUAGUCAGAAUAUGUACCUUACCACAAGGGGCUAUAAAUUCUAUGGCACAUAUGAUGAAUUGAAUGCAUAAGGUAUUAAGAAAUUUUAUUCUAAGUAUAACAAUAUCUUUUUUAGAUGAUGUGCUAAUUAAGGGAUGUAAAAAAGAAAGAAGAGAUGAAACUUUGGAUUCAAAAGGAUGUAAAAAGUUUGUGAUAGAUCAAAUUAAUGAUUGUGAAAAGAUUUUAAUAAGAUUAGAAGAGGUUCAUUUAAUCUUAUCAGGGGCAAAAUCAAUGUUUGGAAUUCAUAAAGUUUUGGUGGUUGGACAUAUAUGUGGGUCAUAUGGAUGCAAGCCAAAUAUGGAAAGGAUUGAUGUUAUAAAAAAGAUGAAAAAAUGCACAAAUACAAUGGAAGUUAGAAGGUUUUUAGGAGCAUAUAUUUUCUAUUAUAUAUGGAUAUCACAUUUUACACAUAUAGCAGAUCCAUUAUAUGAGUUGUUAAAAAAGAAUAAAAAAUUUCAAUGGAAACAAGAGCAAAGAAAAGCUAUGGAAAAAUUUAAAAACCUUCUUUUUUCACCUCCAACUUUGAAGAAAGUAAAUUAUGAGUGCGAAAGAUCAGCGGUAUUAAUAAUGGAUAUAAAUCCAAUUAGAAUAGGUUAGGAAAUUGGACAAGAUGAUGAACAAGGCAAUAAAUAUGUAGUAAGAUUUGGAGCAAGGAUUUUGAAUACUAAACAAAGGGAAUAUGUACAAAUUAAAAGAAAAUUAUAAGGUGUAGUAACAACUAUGAAAAAUAAAAGGAAGUAUUUGAUUAGUGCAUCAGUAGUUAUAGAAACAAAUUGUUUUCUUUUAUUGGGCAUGAUUACGAGUUGUUCAACACCGGAUAUUAUAAUGUUAAGGUGGAUUGCGUAUAUAAAGUCUAUGAAUCUUGAAUUCAAACACAUUUCAAGAAAAGACAAUGCAAUUGUAGAUAUAUUGUCACGAGCACAAUAUGAUGAUGAAGAUGAUAUGAUUGAUGAUGAAGAAAAUCUCGGCACUGACUUUUAUUCAACUUUGUAUGCAAGAAGGGAUGGAUUGUCUUUGGCUACACCAUUUAAAUUAUUCUCAGAAGAAUUAUAUGAUGGUAAAUGAUUUUAUAUAGGAAAAUACUUAAAUACAUUAAUACAGCAACAAGGUUGGAUAAGCAAAGAAUUUAAGAGGAUUUGAAGGAAAGCAUAUGGAUAUUUUCUUCAAAAUAGAUUUUAAUGGAAGCAUCCAAAGAAAAGAGGUGGCAUAUCACAACAAGUUGUAAAUGGGAUUGAGAUGCAAUAAAAGAUCAUUAAGGGAUUUCAUGAGAGUUAAUGGGCUGGGCAUUGGUAUAUUUGUGUAAUAUUUACUAAGUUGAAAGAAAAAUAUUGGUAAAAAAGCAUGCACAAAGAUAUAGCAAAUUUUGUAGGAUCUUGUAAAAUUUGUCAAAUAUAUUCAAACAUUUGGCAUCGAGAUGGAUUACAUCCAACAUAUCUUUUAGCUUUAUAUUAUAAAUGGAUAGUGGAUUUGGUAGCAAUGCCAAUAAAACUUGGACAAAUGAAGUAUUUGGUACUUGCAUGAGAAGAUUUAUUAAAUAUGGUUGAAGGACAAGCAUUAAGAAUAAAGGGUAUUAAAGAUGUAUGCCAAUUUUUAUUGGAAGAUGUUAUUUGUUACUACGGUUGUAUUGGGAGAAUUACAACGGAUAGAAAUAAAUUGGAUGCAAAAGAAGCACGAAAAAUCUUUAGUAGAAUAGGAAUUAAACUUUCAUUAAUAACAGCAUACAAUCCAGAAGGUAAUAAGAAGAAUAAACAUGAACAUUCAUCUAUUGUUAAGGCAUUAGUAAAGGUAUGCAAUAGAAAAAUACAUGAAUGACCUAGACUAUUAUCAUUUGUACUAUGGGUAGAUCGUACAAUUCAUAGUUUAAUAAAAAGUUACAUGCCUUCUGAAUUAAUGUAUGGGCAAAAAUCAAUAAUGCCAAUAGAAGAGGUAAUACCUACAUAGAGUGUAUUGCCUCAAAAAGAUGAUCUCAGAAUGAAAGAACUUUUAGCAUUAUAGAUUCAACAAUUAGAAAGAAGACUUAAUAAUAUUGAAGCAACAAUAAUAAGAUUGAAAGAAGAAAGGAAAAGAAAUAAAGAAAGAUUUGAUAAAAAACAUCAACUAUGACCUAAAGCAAUUGAAGAUGGUGAUUAGGUGUUAGUUAAUGAUAGUAGCUUAGAUAAUUAAUAUAGUAUGGCUAAAAAUUUUGUAAAGAGAUGAUGUGGGCCUUAUAUUGUGAAACAAAUGUAUGACAAUGGAACAUAUUUGUUAUGAGAAUUUGAUGGUAUAAAAUUGAAGAUACCUAUAGCAGGUAAGCAAAUCAAAUUCUUUAAACAAAGAGGUGAAUAUAUUUUUUUUUAAUAAAAUAAAAAAUUUAUUAAGAGAUAUUGAGAUGGAAGAAGAAGAACAAGUUGAAGAUCAAAAAUUUGACCAAAAUGAAGGCUAUUCUGAAUAAAAAUGAUAUAUAAAGCUUGGUGCAUGUAAGAGGAUGCAUAGGUUCGGGGAAGGUGGAUGUUGUGUUAUGAUAUGACUAUAUGGUGAAAGAAGAUAAUAUGGAUCUUAUUAUAGAAGAGCCAAAUUAAAAUAUAAAUUAGAAAAAAAUAUGAAUAAAAGAUAGGAAGGUAAUAAAACUUUUAGAAGUAAUGCUACUUUUUAAAAAAAGUGACUUAUACUUACUUUAUUGGACCAUAAAUAAGGCAAAAUAAAGUAGAUUAGGAAAUUAAAGGAUAUGAGCAUUUAUAGGAGGAAGUUAGAAGUUGAUUUUAACAAAAAUUAACUCAAAAAGACAAAAAUUUGAUACUUGAAGAGGACCAAUUAUCAACCUAGGUCAAAAUCAGAUCCCAAGAUACAAAAUUGAGCACCUACAAUAACUCAAGUGUUCUUUUGUACAUCGGAGGGUGGGAUUUGAUAGAAAACUAGAUAAGAUUUCUAUAAGCAUUGAUUUUGGAUAAUUUGGAUUUGUAAUGACUUUAUAGGAACUUUACAAAGUCAAGUUUGUUUUUAGAUGACUUAGAUUUUGUAAAAUAAAAUAGCAUUGACAUUUUGGAUGAUUUCAAGAGUUUUGUAAUAUAUCUAUAAGUGAAAUUUUGUAGGUUAAUGGUCAUAGUUGUGCUUAAUAUGUAUUGUGAAUCUUAGCUCAAUCUAAUGGUUGAAUUAAGGAUUAUUGAGGUUUAAGUAGGUCAAGGUCUCAGAAAGUAGAAUUUUAGAUCUAAUGAAGGUUUUUAAGAUUUCAUGCAAUCUACUAGUUGGAUUGGAGUGAAAUUUAUGUGUGAGGAUAUUAGACUGGUUUUCCUAUGUAUAUAAGAAUUUUGAGAUCAAUUAAACAGUGAAAAUGAGAGAUAUUGACUUUGGGAGAUUGGCAUCAAGGUCGGAGAAGGAUGCCAGCCAACAUCCAAGCACAUUUUUGAGGCUAUUGUCUAUUUGGUAAUUUCGAUCAUUUUCAAAUUUUUUGCACUUGUUUUUAACUUAAUUAUUAAGAAGUAUGAAAAUUUUGAAUUAAAUUCAAUAGUUCAUUCAUUAGUAAUUGAGGUUUAAAUUUGUUGUAGGAAUUGUUAGGGUUUGAUUUAGGGUUAGGAUUUAGGAUUUGGUUAGGAUUUGGUUUAGGGUUAGAUUUUGAUUAGAGUUUGGUUUAGGAUUAAGAUUUGGUUAGGAUUUGAUUUAGGAUUUAGGACUUGAUUCGGAUUUGAUUUAGGAUUUAGGAUUUGAUUAGGGUUUGAUUUAGAAUUAGCAUUUAAGGUUUGAUUAGGAUUUGAUUUAGGGUUUAGAAUUUUAUUAAGAUUUAUUUAGGAUUUAAGAUUUAAUUAAUUUUUGGCCUAAAGUUUGAAUGAAGUCUAAUAGGAUUUUAACUAGGAUUAAAUUAAGAUUGAAUUGAGAUGUAUUUGAGAUAUAUUUGUGAUCAUUUUAAUAUUUCUUUAAGAUUUUUUAUUGUUUUUUUAUAAUUCCUUUGAGGUUUCUUUGAAUUUGAUUAAAGCUUGCUUAGAAUUAUUAUGAUCUUAUUAGAGUUUAAUUAGUAUUCUAUUAGAGUUAGGAUUUUGUU
rnacentral:lncRNA from 1 species